rnacentral:rRNA from 1 species
AUUGAACGCUGGCGGCAGGCCUAACACAUGCAAGUCGAGCGGAUGAAGGGAGCUUGCUCCUGGAUUCAGCGGCGGACGGGUGAGUAAUGCCUAGGAAUCUGCCUGGUAGUGGGGGAUAACGUCCGGAAACGGGCGCUAAUACCGCAUACGUCCUGAGGGAGAAAGUGGGGGAUCUUCGGACCUCACGCUAUCAGAUGAGCCUAGGUCGGAUUAGCUAGUUGGUGGGGUAAAGGCCCACCAAGGCGACGAUCCGUAACUGGUCUGAGAGGAUGAUCAGUCACACUGGAACUGAGACACGGUCCAGACUCCUACGGGAGGCAGCAGUGGGGAAUAUUGGGCAAUGGGCGAAAGCCUGAUCCAGCCAUGCCGCGUGUGUGAAGAAGGUCUUCGGAUUGUAAAGCACUUUAAGUUGGGGGGAAGGGCAGUAAGUUAAUACCUUGCUGUUUUGACGUUACCAACAGAAUAAGCACCGGCUAACUUCGUG